GCCGGAGGGUGCGAUCGUUAAUCGGAAUUACUGGGCGUAAAGCGCAUGUAGGCGGCCGAACAAGUCAGGUGUGAAAUCCUCGGGCUUAACCUGGGAAGUGCACUUGAUACUGUCCGGCUAGAGUUUGGCAGAGGAAAGUAGAAUUCCCGGUGUAGCGGUGAAAUGCGUAGAUAUCGGGAGGAAUACCAGUGGCGAAGGCGGCUUUCUGGGCCAAUACUGACGCUGAGGUGCGAAAGCGUGGGGAGAAAACAGG
rnacentral:rRNA from 1 species